GGCUGCUCUUCAAACAUAGCUCCUCUUCUGGCAGACGCACCACCUAGUUCUGGGAGAGAGGCCGGCACCGGCCCGCUAGGUGGGGCACACCGUCCUCUGCGUUUUCCUGUCUUGGCUCAACACAUAGUCCUGUCCAAAUCCUCCCAACCCGAGCAGUGGAAGGGAAGAAGGAAAGGAGGGGCUAAGGAAGGAAACAAAGACACUGACCAGAGCCCCGAGGCUGGAAACCAUAGCUUUCUGCCAUGUGAGGACACCGCCAUCAGCGACUCUGGAGGAAGCAGCAUUCCGGGAAGCAAAGACCACAUCCUCGACAAACACUGACCCUGCCAGUGCUUUGAUCUUUGACUGCCCAGCCUCCGUAACUGUGAGAAAUAAAUC